rnacentral:rRNA from 1 species
GCUGGCGGCAGGCCUAACACAUGCAAGUCGAGCGCAGUCCUUCGGGACCGAGCGGCGGACGGGUUAGUAACGCGUGGGAACAUACCCUUUUCUACGGAAUAGCCUCGGGAAACUGAGAGUAAUACCGUAUAAGCCCUUCGGGGGAAAGAUUUAUCGGGAAAGGAUUGGCCCGCGUUAGAUUAGAUAGUUGGUGGGGUAAUGGCCUACCAAGUCUACGAUCUAUAGCUGGUUUUAGAGGAUGAUCAGCAACACUGGGACUGAGACACGGCCCAGACUCCUACGGGAGGCAGCAGUGGGGAAUCUUAGACAAUGGGCGCAAGCCUGAUCUAGCCAUGCCGCGUGUGUGAUGAAGGUCUUAGGAUCGUAAAGCACUUUCGCCAGGGAUGAUAAUGACAGUACCUGGUAAAGAAACCCCGGCUAACUCCGUGCCAGCAGCCGCGGUAAUACGGAGGGGGUUAGCGUUGUUCGGAAUUACUGGGCGUAAAGCGUACGUAGGCGGAUCAGAAAGUAGGGGGUGAAAUCCCAGGGCUCAACCCUGGAACUGCCUCCUAAACUCCUGGUCUUGAGUUCGAGAGAGGUGAGUGGAAUUCCAAGUGUAGAGGUGAAAUUCGUAGAUAUUUGGAGGAACACCAGUGGCGAAGGCGGCUCACUGGCUCGAUACUGACGCUGAGGUACGAAAGUGUGGGGAGCAAACAGGAUUAGAUACCCUGGUAGUCCACACCGUAAACGAUGAAUGCCAGUCGUCGGGCAGUAUACUGUUCGGUGACACACCUAACGGAUUAAGCAUC